CAACCUGGUUGAUCCUGCCAGUUUGUCAUAUGCUUGUUUCAAGGACUAAGCCAUGCAAAUGUCAGUGGACUCGUGAGAUUCUCGGGAGGACUGUGUACGGCUCAUUAAACGGUUAAUGGUCUACCCAACAGAGGGAGCUCUCGGGCUUUCCAACGGGAUAACUGCUCGAAACGGGCAGCUAAUACCUGGAAGA
rnacentral:rRNA from 1 species